GCUUGGUGAGUACUUUUCCAGCCCUUUCUUUUCGGAGCGUGUAUGGCGUGUUCUUGUGUGUGCAGGCAGCGUGAAAGCGGACGUGUGCGGUUCCUUGUCGCACAGAUUCUUUGCGCAUUGAAUGACCCUCAAGCUUUUUCCAAGGAAGUACCGGAACCGACCUGUCACUGAGCGAGCAGUCAAAUGGCGGGAACGGACCCAGAGGCAAGGUCCCACGGGGGCGUGGGGCGCCGAGCGAGGCGCUUGAAAGGCACAAGCAUUGGAGACCAGCUGCCUCCACAAUCAUGCCCCCCCGGCUUUCCUGGUAGUUGCUGUCGUUGUACCAAAAAGUGCAUAAGGGGUGGACGUUACUUAACCGUCAUUUCAAUCCUGGGGACAUGGAGUCAUUGCUAACCAGGGCCGGUCACUGUUAGCCAAAACAAGACUUCAUAG